GAGACAGCAGUCGCCGCGGUAAGACAGAGGAUGCAAGCGUUAUCCGGAAUGAUUGGGCGUAAAGCGUGCGUAGGCGGCUUUUUAAGUCGGAUGUGAAAUCCCCGAGCUUAACUUGGGAAUUGCAUUCGAUACUGGGAAGCUAGAGUAUGGGAGAGGAUGGUAGAAUUCCAGGUGUAGCGGUGAAAUGCGUAGAGAUCUGGAGGAAUACCGAUGGCGAAGGCAGCCAUCUGGCCUAAUACUGACGCUGAGGUACGAAAGCAUGGGGAGCAAACAGGAUUAGAGACCCGCGUAGUCCCUGUCUCUUAUAC
rnacentral:rRNA from 1 species